rnacentral:rRNA from 1 species
AUUGAACGCUGGCGGCAGGCUUAACACAUGCAAGUCGAGCGGAGAUGAGGUGCUUGCACCUUAUCUUAGCGGCGGACGGGUGAGUAAUGCUUAGGAAUCUGCCUAUUAGUGGGGGACAACAUUCCGAAAGGAAUGCUAAUACCGCAUACGUCCUACGGGAGAAAGCAGGGGAUCUUCGGACCUUGCGCUAAUAGAUGAGCAUAAGUCGGAGUAGCUAGUUGGUGGGGUAAAGGCCUACCAAGGCGACGAUCUGUAGCGGGUCUGAGAGGAUGAUCCGCCACACUGGGACUGAGACACGGCCCAGACUCCUACGGGAGGCAGCAGUGGGGAAUAUUGGACAAUGGGGGGAACCCUGAUCCAGCCAUGCCGCGUGUGUGAAGAAGGCCUUAUGGUUGUAAAGCACUUCAAGCGAGGAGGAGGCUACUGAGACUAAUACUCUUGGAUAGUGGACGUUACUCGCAGAAUAAGCACCGGCUAACUCUGUGCCAGCAGCCGCGGUAACAC